AUGAACGGUGCUGAUAAGGUUCGUGCCGGCGAGGGUGAGAUGAUGAACGGUGCUGAAAAGCUUCGUGCCGGCGAGGAUGAACACAACAAGGAACUAUACUUUUCUCCAAUUCACAAUAUUCUUAAUUGCUUUCUUCAUCAUUACAUCAGAUAUGUGCAAGAAAACAGAAGCACAGUCGCCUAUUGUGACCUGGCCAUGUGUAUCACCAAAACCUUGCAAAGUUAG